GCCGGGCACGGUGGCUCAUGCCUGUAAUCCCAGCACUUUGGGAGGCUGAGGCGGGUGGAUCACCUGAGGUCAGGAGUUCGAGACCAGCCUGGCCAAUAUGGUGAAACCCUGUCUCUA
rnacentral:SRP_RNA from 1 species